rnacentral:rRNA from 1 species
GAUGAACGCUGGCGGCGUGCCUAAUACAUGCAAGUCGAGCGAACAGACGAGGAGCUUGCUCCUCUGACGUUAGCGGCGGACGGGUGAGUAACACGUGGAUAACCUACCUAUAAGACUGGGAUAACUUCGGGAAACCGGAGCUAAUACCGGAUAAUAUAUUGAACCGCAUGGUUCAAUAGUGAAAGACGGUUUUGCUGCCACUUAUAGAUGGAUCCGCGCCGCAUUAGCUAGUUGGUAAGGUAACGGCUUACCAAGGCAACGAUGCGUAGCCGACCUGAGAGGGUGAUCGGCCACACUGGAACUGAGACACGGUCCAGACUCCUACGGGAGGCAGGAGUAGGGAAUCUUCCGCAAUGGGCGAAAGCCUGACGGAGCAACGCCGCGUGAGUGAUGAAGGUCUUCGGAUCGUAAAACUCUGUUAUUAGGGAAGAACAAAUGUGUAAGUAACUAUGCACGUCUUGACGGUACCUAAUCAGAAAGCCACGGCUAACUACGUG